AGCUUUGUGGUAUAGUUGGCUAUCACGUCAGUUCAAUAUACUGAAGGUCUCCAGUUCGAGUCUGGACGAAGCUA